GCAUUUCAUUGUAAAGAUUUAAAUUUUGCAUUCUCUAAAGUAAAGCUUUAAAUUUGUUUUAGAAUUAAAGUAAAAAUGUAACAUCUGUAGACAUCUAUUUUUCGCUGAAUUUAUCAAUUAAUUUGAUUGAGUAUAAAUUACGAGCAAAUAUUCUUAUAAAUAAUGUUUAAUAGAUAAUAUGACGAGAAUAAAAUAAAACGAAAAUUGUGUUGGAGAAAAGUUUUCGAGAAAAAUAUGUUCGAAUGCCAGUCAAAUGGAUGUGUACCUGUCUUAUUCCCCAGUGAAUAUCAAAUAAUCAAUAUCCAGAGAAUUUUUCGUGAAAAAUAAAUGAAAAAUGUAGAAAAUUUUUUUCUUUAAAGCUUCGUUUUCUUUAAAAAUUCAUCGACUGUAAGUAUUUCUGAUUGAAUCGUUGACUUUUCUACUUAUAAUGUAUUGAUCAUCUCAUAUGAUCAUAAAUUAUUACCAUUCGAAAUGAACUUAUUGAAAUUUGUUUAUAUAAAAAUCACUUGUCUUUGAUUUGUUCGUAUAUUUUCAAUUUUUUUAUUGAACACGAAUAAAUGUAAAUGUAAAAAUGAAAAUAUUUAUGCAGCCACCAGGACAAAUGUAUUGGAGACACGAGGAUAUAAGAACUCUACCCUUAUUCAACAUAGUCUGAAAUAUGUAUAGUUUCCCCUAUGGAAAUAUAGAUAAACUAGAAAAUUCUGCCAUACAUCAAAUAUCAAUAUUUUCCAAAUAUCGACACUUUCGAAGCAAAGAAAUUCAAAGUUGUAUAUGACAUGUCUAUUUCAUUUUAUGACACGUGUAUUCUAUUUUAUAAGGAAUAUAAUUGUUAACGGAUUAAUUUAAAAAAAUUAUAAUCGUCAAUGAAAAAAUAUAACACGAAUUAGCCGAAAAAUUAUUAAAUGAUUUGCAUUAUUUCUUUAUACAACUCUUACAAAUCUGAAAAAAAAAUAGUUGGUAAAUCAACUGUCGUAAUAUCUAAAAUAUUAUCAUAAAUCAUACAAUGAAAGUUUACUAGUUUUCAUAAAAAAAAAUUCCAAGCAUACAAUCCUCGAGAACACUCCCUCGCUUAUCCGCUGAUAGAAUAGCUUCUUCUGGCAAGUCGAUUAAAACGAAAUGCAGAUUUGUCGACGAUCGAUCCCCGCAAUAACGGCAGGAUUUAGCUAUAUAGUAAUGGAUUUAGAUAGACUUCGGAGUACGAUGUCGAGUUUCGUUGCCAAUGCUUCCCAUUCGGCGGAAACUUUCAAAGGCAAACCUGUCUCUGUUCACUGUAGCUCUAAAAAUCGAUCCAUUAACCGCCUCAAAAAUCCACUUUUAUCUGAGAAGUAUCUCGUGCAGUGAUAUAGAUCUCAACUUCUUGUUAUAUUGAUUUAAUCCUCGAUAUAAUAUAUUGUAUCUCAUUUGACAAUAUCUAAUAAAUUCUCUGUAUUUAUAAAAUAAAUUUGGAAUUAUAAAGUUAAUCACAUCUGAACCGAUUUGAUAAUUGUAUUAACGUAAAUGAUUUACGUAAAUCGGAUAAUUUCAUCAUUAUUCAAGAAUUUGAUAUGUUUCCGAACAAAAGGGAAUAUUAAAAAUAUUUAAUAUACAUGUAUUUUAUGACGUUAUAUUAUUAUUGAAUUUAUUAUAUAUCAAUUGAUUAAAUAUUCAUAUAAAUAUUAAAUCUCGUAUUAUUGAAUGGAAAAGAAAAUGAGAAUUCUUGAGUACAAAAAAGAACUUUCCAAAAUAAAAAAAACAAAAAGAGAUUCCGUAUUACCUCCCUAAUAUAUAUUUUUAUAUUAUUAUAAAAAUUCUUUCAAUAUUGUUUAACUUAUACAUAAGAUAAACGUACCUAUGUACACGUUUCAUGUACUUCUUUACUUUCUUUGUCACCAUCUUUCGUAAACAUGUGUACUCUCUUCUGAAAACGUUAUACGUAUACACAUAAGGUCUGUCGAGUCUUUGUAAGUCCUCUUACGCCCAACUUAUCUCUAACAAGUCGCUAUCUUUUCCGCUCCACAUCUUCGUAAGGCUGUCCCACAUUGUUCUAAAGAAAAUAUAUUAUUGAUUACUGGAGCAAAUUAAUAUCUUCAAUCAGUAUUUCAGAGUGGAAGGAAGACCGAUGUCUAUCCCCACAAUUUAUAUCCCCACCUUGCAAAAAUAUCGAGCCAUUCGGCCAACCUUCAUUAAUCUUUCAUCCCCUUGAUGGAUCACUGACAAUCGCGUCGUAAAAACUUCUCAUUUCUCUUGAUGAAAAUUCUUAAACGAGAUAUAUAUUCUCAUAUCUCUUUGUAAACGUGAUACUGAUUUUUUUCCUUAUCAAUUUAAACAUAUUCAAUUCUUCAAUUUUAUUCAGUAGUUCGAUUCAGAGCCACAGACAAUAUAUAAAAUUCCAACCCUGCUAAUUUUCUGCCUUUUACACUAUUCAGAUGCAAAUGGGCUCUUAAAACUUAAUAAAUCUUAUAAUUUUAUUUUUCAUAGCUUUUCAGCAACGUUUCAAUAAUUCCCUAGCUUCUUUAUAUUCAGAAUUAUAUGUGCUGUAAUGUAACAAAUUCUUGUUUUUCUAUUCUCAUAACUGCCCAUAGCUUUAUCCUUAGCAUUAUAGACGCUGUUAUAAAUUCUAUACGGAUCUUAAGAUCUCUAAUUCUUUGGUUUCUCUUGCACACUUUUGUAUCCAGCAUUGCGGCUACCUCGCAACAUUGUAACCUCAGAGCACACUCCAAACUCAUAAAUUCCAAUUUUCUCUGUUCGCAGCUCUAUUUUCGUAAUAUAGUAGCCACACUAAAGUUUUGAAUCUCCACUCCGCUAAUUUGGCUGCCUGUACCUUUGCCCUUAACCGAGGUAACCCGUGGCAAAAUGACAAAUUGAACAACGGUGUCUAAAACUGAUUAUCAGAUGGAUCCCAAUGGCGGCGCCACGUGUUUAUCGCGUGGCUAUAAUUCCGUCCAGGAUAUUUAUCUAUACCCAAUGGAUCAGGAAUAAAUCGUGUUGAAUACAAAUUGAUCGUGCACACGGUUGAUAAAUGGUAUUGUUUCUUGGAAAAUGACGAUAACGAUUUAUGGAAAUCUAUUGGCGGUUUACGAUAUUUUGGAUGUGAUAGGAUAAUAUAAAAUGGAUGAUUGAUUUCAUUGAUUUCAUAAUAAUUGGAUAUUGGAUGUAUUUUUAUCCCUAAAAAGGGAAAAGCUUCAAAAAACUGUUGUAACUGUUAAAUUGAAUUGUAAAAAAAUUGUCAAAAAGCGCUGGAAACAAAUCAAAAUAUAAAUUUUCAUUAAUUGAAGCUAUUUGUAACAUUUGUGUUGCUUUUGUGUAGCCAUAAAAUGGAUGAGUCGCCUUUAUACGUAUAUCAUAACGAAUGAAAUAUAUUUGAAAUAGAA